GCUUCAGAAGCAGAAAUUAUGCGUCGGUCUUGUAAACCGAAAGGUGAAGGAUUUAUACCUUCCUGAUGCU
rnacentral:tRNA from 1 species